AACUACCAGAAGCAAAACAUUCCUAACCCUUCAAUCCAGUUUGGGAUAUUCCUGGUUCAUGAAACUUUACAGUGGAUGUUGCUGUGUCAUCAAAUGUAUGGGAGCAUCACUCACAGCAUAUGUGUGAAACACAUUACUUCAUGAUGGCUUUUCCAGAGCCAAAACCAAAGAAACCUGAACUGCCUAAGAAACUGCUGGGCACAUUGCAAUGUAAACAGGGAGCUGUCAGAGCUGUAAGGUUCAAUGUGGAUGGGAAUUACUGUCUCACUUGUGGCAGUGACAAGUCACUCAAGCUCUGGCACCCCCACAAAGGGACUCUCCUCAAGACAUACAGUGGCCAUGGCUAUGAGGUACUGGAUGCAGCAGGGUCAUUUGACAACAGCCAGCUUUGCUCAUGCGGAUCAGACAAGACUGUUGUGCUAUGGGAUGUGGCAAGAGGGCAGGUGAUUCGCAAGUUCCGUGCCCAUGCAGGGAAGGUAAACUGUGUCCAGUUCAGUGAAGAGGCUAUGAUCUUGUCAGGAUCUAUUGACUCCAGUAUUCGCUGCUGGGACUGUCGUUCACGCAGACCAGAUUCCAUCCAGAUACUUGAUGAGGCCAAAGAUGGCAUCUCCAGUCUGAAAGUGUCAGAUCAUGAAAUCCUUACAGGUUCUGUAGAUGGACGUGUCCGACGUUAUGACUUACGCGCUGGAGAGCUGUGCUCAGACUAUAUGGGAAGUGAGUGUGCCGAACUCCAUCUGCAAAUCUGGUGCCUUGUUAGGCGUCUCUGACUCUCCAUGUUGUAGAAUUGACACUGGCCAUUUCUGUUCAAUAGACUUGGUACAGAUUCAGCUUGAAGGAUUGUUGUGAAGCCACAUCUUUGAUCUUCGGUCACAUGUUGUUCAUCGACUCCAGUGGCAGGGCAGAAUGCAGCUGACUUGAUCCCUGCAAGUUGCUAUCCCUGUCUGUCUCCCUUUGGAAUUGUCAGCAUUGGGCAAAAUGCCAUCACAGUCCUAGGAGCACAUUACAAAGACUUUGCUCAUCCUCUUGCUCCUCCCUACACACACACUUGAAAUGAUGGAAUCCAGCACUGCUAUCUUAUUACUACAGGUCCCAUCACGUGCGUUUGUUUCAGCAAAGAUGGACAAUGUAUGCUGGCUGCUAGUUUGGACUCCACGCUACACUUGUUGGACAAGGACACAGGCGAGAUGCUGGGAGAGGAUCCCUGGCUACGAGCUCACCUGUGAGUAACAGUGCUGUCCAGUCUCUGUCCUUCCAC